rnacentral:rRNA from 1 species
GUCGCCUACGGGACGCAGCAGUCGGGAAUAUUGCGCAAUGGAGGAAACUCUGACGCAGUGACGCCGCGUAUAGGAAGAAGGUUUUCGGAUUGUAAACUAUUGUCGUUAGGGAAGAUAAAAGACUGUACCUAAGGAGGAAGCCCCGGCUAACUAUGUGCCAGCAGCCGCGGUAAUACAUAGGGGGCAAGCGUUAUACGGAAUUAUUGGGUGCAAAGGGUGCGUAGACGGAAGAACAAGUUGGUUGUGAAAUCCCU